rnacentral:rRNA from 1 species
UACGUAGGGUGCGAGCGUUGUCCGGAAUUAUUGGGCGUAAAGAGCUUGUAGGCGGUCUGUCGCGUCUGCUGUGAAAACUCGGGGCUCAACCUCGAGACGUCGGCGGAAACCAUCUGGCUAGAGUCCGGAAGAGGAGAGUGGAAUUCCUGGUAUAGCGGUGAAAUGCGCAGAUAUCAGGAAGAACACCCGUGGCGAAGGCGGCUCUCUGGGACGGUACUGACGCUGAGACGCGAAAGCGUGGGGAGCGAACAGG